rnacentral:tRNA from 1 species
GGUAGAAUGGCUGAAAUCAAGGCGGUAAAUUGUAAAUUUUCUUAUGAAGUUUUCUUCUUCCA